rnacentral:rRNA from 1 species
CCUACGGGUGGCAGCAGUGGGGAAUAUUGCACAAUGGGGGAAACCCUGAUGCAGCGACGCCGCGUGAGUGAAGAAGUAUCUCGGUACGUAAAGCCCUAUCAGCAGGGAAGAAAAUGAUGGUACCCGACUACGAAGCCGCGGCCAACUACGUGCCAGCAGCCGCGGUAAUACGCAGGGGGCAAGCGUCAUCCGGAUUUACUGGGUGUAAAGGGAGCGUAGACGGCAGGAAAAGUCUGGAGUGAAAUCCCGGGGCUUAACCCCGGAACGGCGUUGAAAACUGUGGGGCUGGGGUGCAGGUGGGUAAGCGGAAUUCGUGGUGUAGCGGUGAAAUGCAUAGAUAUUGGGCAGAACACCGAUGGCGAAGGCAGCUUGCUGGA